UUCACUCCUUCAUUCCUGUGCCUUUCUUUUUCUCAACGAGAAACAUCAUGCCUACUUCCUCUUCCACCGCUUCUUUUGCCUCAAAGACUGACCUCCAUUCACUCACCCAAAGGUCAAAAUCUACACUUUUCCAAUAGCUUCAGAGAGAUUGCUGUGAAACCCACCGACCUCGAAUUGAAUUCCUUGGUUACUUGCAGCUAUCUCUAGUGGUUGGAAUUGCUGAUUAUCGAGUGGGUAUUAGCAUUUUGAUUUGGGUUGCCGCGUGUAGCAGUGGAUUGGGGUUUUGUUAGUCGCUGAACUAAGGCUUGAUGUAGGGAAGACAAAACUUUCUUAUAGCUUAGUUUCUAUUCUGGUGUGUACGUAGUGAGUGUGAUUGCUUUGGAAUGUUUUCUUUACGAAUUGGUAUGAGAUUAUUGUUUUGGGUAUUAAUUGAUUUGUAAGUGGAAAUCUCGUUUGAUAGGGAAUGCUUUCCCUUCGUGCAACUUUGAUUUCUUUGUUUUGGCAUGAAUUAAUGAUGCCUUGUUUCAUAUGAUCAUUACCUCUGUUCUUUUAGUUUGAUCUGAAAUAGGCUUUGAGCAAAAGUUUUGACAAUGAUAUUUGGAAGCAUCUCUCUUUCUCUCCCAAUUUUCUCAUGUUGAUUAGUCACUGAUUUGAAUGAAGGAGCAGUUGUGCUCUUCGUUUUUUUAUAUCUUUAUUCUUGGCUUUUGGACAUCAACAUGGAACUAGUUUUUGUGCUAUAAUUGCUGGAAUUCUUCAAAGUUCACACGAGAACUAUAUUAUGGUGUUGUUCUCCUUUUAACGCUAGGCAGCUAAAAAUUUAUAUAUAUAGCUGCUGCAGAUCCAAGAAUACCUAUCAAAAACUGAUUGUUAACAAAUGUUUGUUUUUACUAAGGUUUUGAAUCAACUCCUUCCUUACUUACAAUCUGUUUCAUCCAAACAAUAAUUUUCCCAUUAGAGCUUUGUCUAUACUUUAUGCUUACUCACCUUCUCUUUUAACUGAAAGUAUUGUCUGAAAAAGGGAUUUGUUCUUUUCAAUUAUGUUUACAACAAGUAAGGGAUUUUAUUCAAAAGAUUGUUGUUUUGGACUGAUUUCGAAUUUGUUUUGUUGGCAAAAGCUGUUAAGUUUCCAUUCAUGAGAGUAUUUGGAAACAAGUUCCAUUCUUUGACUAUUCUUUCAUUUUAUCUGAGAGUUCAAUUUUAAACCUUAUCUUGGCAGAACUCUAUUGAAUUUGAAAAGAAAAGAGAUUUGAAGUUCUUAUCGGAACUCUUUUGACUGUUCAGUUUGGUUGGAGAGACAAAAGGUUUCUGGAAAGAAUUUUGGAUUUGAAAUCGUUUUAUUUGGUUAGGCUCGGGAAAAGUUAAGUAGGGAUUGUGCUUCCCUAGGGUGAAAGACCCAAAACCUGAUCAGGAUCCGCUUGUACGGGGUGUGCUCGGUGGCCUUAAUACGAGCAAUGGGCUCUAACUGGAAAAAAAGAUGGAUUUUCAAGGAUUUCGUUGGGAUUUAAGACGAGUUUUACUUGUCCCAACAUAUUUGAAGGUUUACCAGGACAGUUUUGGUUUUAUAUUUACUCUUCUCUUCUGGUUCAGUUGUUUAUGGAACUGUUUUAAGCUAGUUUGUGUUUUUGUUAUAAAGAUGAGCCUUGUUAUAACUUAUAUCAAUUGUGUCAUUGUUUUCUUUCCAAAGAAUUUCAGCAGUAACUUUUAAGGUUUAAUUCCAUUAGCUUCUCCCUUUCUAUGUGCAUUCUAAAUUAGAAUCUUUGCUAUACUAAUCUUUUGUUGUACCUACUGAGCUUGUGAAGCUCAUUCCCUAUAUUCUUGUUGUGAUUUUCAGGAAAGACGUCCAUGAGUGGACGUGGUAGUGAGAUACCAGAAUUGUCUUGAGCAGAAAAUGUUGGAGCUUUGUUUUGCUUGUGAAGUGUGUGCUGGACCUUGCUUUUCUUGUUUAAAUGAUUGCUCCCUGGUGCUGGAUGUUCCUCAUUCCAGAAUUUUGUUUUUUUUUGUGUUUGCAAUGUACAUAUGUUGUAAACGAAGUGUUAACCUGGAGCAUUCUUUUGUAGUGGAAAACUUUGUAAUCAAGAUACUCUUUUGAGCUUGUAAGAUGUAUUACUUUUCUCCCAGAUUUUAGAAAAACUUUCUGAGAA